rnacentral:rRNA from 1 species
UGGGGAAUAUUGGGCAAUGGGCGAAAGCCUGACCCAGCGACGCCGCGUGGGUGAUGAAGGCCUUCGGGUUGUAAAGCCCUGUCAUGCGGAAAGAACAGUCUUGUAGUGAAUAACUGCAAGAUUUGACGGUACCGCAGGAGGAAGCACCGGCUAACUCCGUGCCAGCAGCCGCGGUAAUACGGAGGGUGCAAGCGUUGUUCGGAAUUAUUGGGCGUAAAGGGCGCGUAGGCGGUAAUGAAAGUCAGAUGUGAAAUACUUCGGCUCAACUGAAGAACUGCAUCUGAAACUUCAUAACUAGAGUACGGAAGAGGGAAAUGGAAUUCCCGGUGUAGAGGUGAAAUUCGUAGAUAUCGGGAGGAACACCAGUGGCGAAGGCGAUUUUCUGGUCUGGUACUGACGCUGAGGCGCGAAAGUGUGGGGAGCAAACAG